UUACUUACUGUAUGAAUCAUU
rnacentral:piRNA from 1 species